UUGCGCGGUGGUCGCCGUACCGGGUGUCACGGUUUAAGGAAUUGUACUUCGUGGAUAGUCUGUACAUUUCCUUAUUCCUUUCAUUCACGAACUCGUGUAGUUUUGUUUCGUCGACCGAUACAUGGAAUUUCAGUGAACGAAAUUUAAAUCAUAACCUCGAACAAAGUGUCGAUUACAUUAGAAACGUGAGUCGAUGAUACACGGUAAUGGGAAUGGGACAUUCGUUGGAAAAGUUACGGAGCCCCCAACGUUUUGGCGGAACGCGAGCAUAGUGUCGUCUCACAUAGCCGAACAGAAGUAUGAGCAUCUCGUCGCUGGGAACGAGGUUAAUUCGCGCCGGUGAGUCAGCACCGUGAACAAUUAGCAUUUUGAUAGCGGGGGGUUGGUAACGAAGUUUACGGGAUGCGCGAACUGAAAUCACCGAGCAUCUCGACGCGUGCGUAAUUAUCCGCAGAUUUACUCUGUCGUUGGUACAACGUCGAGGACUUUCUCAGUCAAGUUGAGUGUCUCGCGAGUCGUAACGUGUAAUAACGGCAGGUUGAUGAAGGGCACUCGCGCGCGCGCUGGAUCGAACGAUUCGCCGACAGAGUGAAGUGUGAUUCUUUUAAAGUGUAAACUACUUGGAAGCACUACAGUGAAACGCGAUAAUACUGGUACCAGAGCACCCUCUCGUAAAUCGUUCAUAAACCUGGCGCGCCAUUCGGACGACAGGUCAACUGGCAGUGAACUUCGUCCCCUUGAAUUCCCAUUAACGAAACUCAAGAAUUGUUGGUAUAGUUGAAACGAUUUGACACGUUUGAGCAGUAAUAGCGAGUUUGGCAUCGAUUACCGGUGAGGGGGGCACACACAUGCCAGUCACUCGGAGUAAAUAUUGGAGGGCGUACACGAGCGACGACAACGUGCGUUAAUAACGGAGCGUGUAGGACUACCGGGGAGCGGCGUGUGAUGACCGGAAGUAGACGGAGGAGCGAAAACAAGGGAAGGCAACGAGUUCGCUAAAGAUGCGUGGGCUCUCCGGUCCAGAAGGGUUCGGGAGAUCGGUGUCGCUGUCGUUGGCCUACUGCUACUAUCUUCUCGUGCCGGUGUACCACGUGCUCGCCGUGACCAGCGAACUACCACCGAGGCUCGAUUUACCGGAGUAUUGUUCGUGGGACUCGCGACAGGAUGGCGCGCUCACUUGCGUUCACCGUUACACCGGGAACGACUCCCUCAGGACGAACUUUUCACAGGCGACUAGCGAAUACGUGACCUCGAUCAACGUCGUUUGCGAGGAUUCAGAAUCAUUGGAAAAUGGUAUACUGAACGUGGAUGGGUUCGUACAGUUAUGGAGAUUGCGAUCGUUAAGGUUGACCGGAUGCAAGCUGGUCCAUUGGCCGGCAAAAGUUUUGAGCGGUCUGCGGGAUCUGCGUAAUCUAACGAUCAGGAGCUUGAACGGACGAAAGAGCAAGUACAGCUUGGAGCUGGAGAACGGGGCGUUCGACUCGGUGCCACAGAUUGAGAAGAUUGAUUUAUCGUGGAACAACAUCUGGCAGAUACCGGAACACUUGUUUUGCCCGCUAUCGAACCUUCUAACGCUGAACAUCUCUUGGAACAUGUUGAAGGAUAUCAGCGAACUGGGAUUCAGGGAUAUCGCGGAGAAACACCCGAGGCGUCAGCAGGAAUCGACCCCAUCGCCUUUCCCUUGUUCUCUGGAUGUGCAAUCGUUGGACGUGUCGAGUAAUCAAAUUUCGGUUCUCCCCGCCUACGGAUUUUCCUCGUUGAAGAGGCUCCGCGUGCUCAACUUGUCGAGUAACGCGAUCUCCAUGGUUGCAGACGAGGCGCUUCAUGGACUCAGAUCCCUCGAGACCUUCGACCUGUCUGGAAACAGAAUCGUCGCGUUACCGACGGAAAUGUUUCGGGACGCGGCCAAGUCAUUGAAGGAAUUGCGGCUCCAGAACAAUUCCAUCAGCGUGCUGUCACCGGGCCUGGUCGCGGACAUGAAUCAGCUUGUCGCUUUGGAUCUGUCGAGAAACGCGUUGACCAGCUCCUGGCUGAAUUCCGCCACGUUUUCUGGUUUGAUUCGACUGGUUCUUCUGAAUUUGUCUCAUAAUCGAAUAAGUCGAUUGGACCCGGCUCUGUUCAAAGAUCUUUACACUCUGCAGAUAUUAAAUUUGCAAUACAACGAGAUAGAAACGAUACCAGCGGAUACGUUCGCGCCCAUGAGUAAUUUACACACGCUAGAUCUAGCUUUUAAUCGAUUGACUUAUCUGGACGCUUACUCUCUCAACGGAUUGUUUGCACUUUCUCUGCUGUCGCUCGAUUCUAAUCAGCUCGAAGGUAUCCAUCCGGAUGCCUUUCGCAAUUGUUCCAGUAUGCAGGACCUGAAUCUAUCCGGGAACAGUUUGGACAGCAUACCGGUCGCACUGAAGGACAUGAGAAUGCUGCGUACGCUGGACCUCGGCGAAAAUCAGAUCAGAAGCCUGAACAGACCCGGUUUCCGUGGAAUGUCCAGUCUGUAUGGAUUACGAAUGAUCGGAAACGAGAUCACGAACGUCACUAUGGAGGAUUUCGCUGAGCUCCCCGCUCUUCAGAUAUUAAACUUGGCACGGAACAAGAUCGAGGUCGUCGAGGAUGGCGUGUUUUCCACGAAUCCGGCGUUGCAGGCGAUUCGUUUGGACUCGAAUUUGUUGCAGGACAUGACCGGUAUAUUCGCCAGCGCACCUGGUCUCCUCUGGCUGAAUAUGUCCGACAACAUGAUCGUACAGUUCGAUUACAGUUAUCUGCCGGAGAAAUUACAGUGGAUGGAUCUGCAUAAAAAUCUUAUUAUGGAUCUCGGUGUCGCGCCACAGGGCAUAAGAUUACAGACGCUCGACGUGUCGUUCAACCGGCUAACGAGGAUACAUUCGAGGUCGAUACCGGACUCCAUCGAGCUUCUGUUCGUCAACGACAAUUUGAUACAGACCGUGGAACCUCAGACGUUUUUCGACAAGUUGAAUCUUACCAGGGUGGAUCUCUACGCAAAUCAGAUCGUCAAGAUGAAUCUGUCUGCGUUUCAGUUGACCCAGGUGCCCGCGUAUCGACAAUUGCCAGAGUUCUACAUCGGUGGCAACCCCUUCAUAUGCGACUGUACAACGGAAUGGUUGCAAAGAAUCAAUUCGUUGUUGCUGAGACAACAUCCGAGGGUAAUGGAUUUGGAGUCGGUGUACUGCAGGCUUCCGUACGAUCGUCACAAAUCGUUUAUACCGUUGCUCGAGGCGAAACCGUCUCAGUUCCUCUGCACGUACAAGGCUCAUUGUUUCGCGCUGUGUCAUUGCUGCGACUUCGACGCCUGCGACUGCGAGAUGACUUGCCCGACAAACUGCACUUGCUAUCACGAUCAAUCCUGGUCGGCGAACGUAGUGGAUUGCUCGAACUCCGGUUACAAAACCCUCCCCGGCCGAUUACCGAUGGAUGCCACCGAGGUUUACCUCGAUGGAAACAAUUUCGGGGAAUUGAAUUCCCACUCGUUCAUCGGCCGUAAGAACCUGCAGAUUCUGUACGCGAACGAUAGCAACAUCAUCGCUAUACGCAAUCAUACUUUCAGCGGUCUGAAGCGUUUGUUGGUCCUUCAUCUGGAGAACAACAAGAUAAGCGUGCUCAACGGCGUGGAAUUGAUGCCUCUGGAGAACCUGAAGGAACUCUACCUACAGAACAAUCUACUGACGUAUAUAGAUAACGGAACGUUCCUUCCGCUACGUCAGCUGGAAGUGUUACGAUUGGAAAACAAUCGACUUGGCACUUUCGCUGUUUGGCAGCUCGGCCAGAAUCCAUAUUUGGUCGACAUCGGGUUGUCCAGCAACCCAUGGAGUUGCGAGUGCUCGUACUUGGACCGGGUACGCGAGUGGAUGUCCCGUAACAGAGCGAAGAUAAGCGACUGGAGGAGCGUCACCUGUUCCCUUGGUAUACCUAUUACUCUUCCAGCGAACGGAUCGGUCAUAAAUUGCGCGGCAUUAACAGGCACGACCUCGGUCAUCGAGACUCGACCGCUCGAGGCUUAUUUGCCGCUACUGCUCGCCACCGCCGUGCUGAUUUUUGCCAUGGUGGCGCUGGUGUGUGGUGCAUUCAGGCAUCGUCGUACCCUGAGGACAUGGGCUGCCAGCAGAUGCGGCCUCAGAGCGUGUUACAAGACAGCGGCAUUCGAGGAUCAAGAGAAACCCUUCGAUGCCUAUAUCUCCUACUCCGCCGUGGACGAGGCGUUCGUUUCGACGAUUCUGGUACCUGGUCUGGAAACUUCUUACCGGUUGUGUUUACACUACCGUGAUCUAAGCGCCGGUAGCAACGUGGCUGAUGCAGUGGCGGAAGCGGCCGAUUCUUCGAGACGAACCAUCCUAGUAUUGUCGAAGAACUUUCUGCACGGCGAGUGGGCCAGAUUCGAGUUUAAAGCGGCUCUGAGGGACGCUCUGAAAGGGAAGGGCCGCUCGGUGAUCGUGCUGCUGGUAGGCGGUGUGGGUCCACGAGAUCUCGAUGCCGAUCUCAAAAAGAGAAUCUCGUCGCACACCGUGCUGGUGUGGGGGGACAAGUUGUUUUGGCAGAAGCUAAGGUUCGCCAUGCCAGACGUGUCCCCUGUUCCUGUUUUGGAGAGACCCCUGCCAUUGCCGCCACCGCCACCGCCCCCGGCGCAGCAUCAAUGGACGUAGAACUGCCAUUAUUUAGAUGUGAACUGUUGCCAGAAGUAUUAUCGAUUCGCAUUACGUAUGAAGUAAUUGGAAAUCGCAGUGGACAAGGUUUUCCCGACUGCCGCGACCUUUCUCUCUACUUAUUAUCAAGAAGUAUUUCUUACUAUCGCAAUUGUACUCCGUAACACGGUGUCUUCAUCUAAAGUAAACGGUUUAUUCGUAUUUUUGAGACUCGUGAUAGCUUCGUAGUGUGCAAAUGUAAAUUAGGGCGAACGAAAAAAAAAAAAUCGCGAAACUACAAGAAACAAAACAGAAAUAUAGAAACAAAAGUAAACGAUCGAAGAAGAUCAAACGCAAGAAGACGUAAAAUACCAGGAGAAAAGAAAUGAAUAAAACGAAGACGGCGAGGAAGAUGAACAACAAGGAAGAAGCGUAAUGAAAAUACACACACACACACACACACACACACACACACGCACACAGUAACACGUACAUACACCGAGAAUACUACCCUUUAUUAACUCGUAAUUGCAACGAAGUUUUUUCUCUUUCUACUCGAACUCGACUAGUUUACUUAAUCCAAUGAUCGAUUAUUAAGGAUUGCGAGAGAUUAUAUAAAUAUAAAUAUAAAUAUAUAAAUAUAAAUAUGAAUAUAAAUAUAAAUAUAAGCGUAAAACACGAGAUGUGUCCUCCAGUCCUCGAUGAGCGUUCUCUUGUUUCUCGUCGAACGGAGAGAUUUAAUGUACAUAGCGAGAGUUUUGUAUAUUUGUAAAAUAGAUAGGGCAUUUUAUUAUAAACAAUAAAGUUAUUUAUAUAUAUUUUAAUCACAA